GAAAUGCGAUAAGUAAUGUGAAUUGCAGAAUUCCGUGAAUCAUUGAAUCUUUGAACGCAUAUUGAUAUGCUUAAGUUCAGCGGGUAUCCUUACCUGAUCCGAGGUCAAAUCUUAGGCUUUCCCCCAAGGUUUAAUCGACGAAAAUGCCGGCUGGGCCACUAAAGCACGUGACAGGCUCCAUAUGCUCAGGCACCAGGACUCGGCAUCGCCACUACAUUUUAAGCCUGUCCAUCAACAGGACAAUUGACUCAACAACCAAGCCGUGCUUGAAGGUAGUAAUGACGCUCGGACAGGCAUGCCCUCCAGAAUACCAGAGGG
rnacentral:misc_RNA from 1 species